rnacentral:rRNA from 1 species
CAGAGGUGGCAAGCGUUGUUCGGAAUUACUGGGCGUAAAGGGCGCGUAGGCGGCCUUGUCAGUCAGACGUGAAAUCCCCAGGCUUAACUUGGGAACUGCGUCUGAUACUACAAGGCUUGAGUGCGGGAGAGGGAUGUGGAAUUCCAGGUGUAGCGGUGAAAUGCGUAGAUAUCUGGAGGAACACCGGUGGCGAAGGCGGCAUCCUGGACCGACACUGACGCUGAGGCGCGAAAGCUAGGGGAGCAAACGGGAUUAGAUACCCCGGUAGUCCUAGCCCUAAACGAUGAGUGCUUGGUGUGGCGGGUAUCGAUCCCUGCCGUGCCGAAGCUAACGCAUUAAGCACUCCGCCUGGGGAGUACGGUCGCAAGGCUG